AUUGAACGCUGGCGGCAGGCCUAACACAUGCAAGUCGAACGAGUGGCGGACGGGUGAGUAAUGUCUGGGAAACUGCCUGAUGGAGGGGGAUAACUACUGGAAACGGUAGCUAAUACCGCAUACCAUCGGAUGUGCCCAGAUGGGAUUAGCUAGUAGGGGGGGUAAAGGCUCACCUAGGCGACGAUCCCUAGCUGGUCUGAGAGGAUGACCAGCCACACUGGAACUGAGACACGGUCCAGACUCCUACGGGAGGCAGCAGUGGGGAAUAUUGGACAAUGGGCGAAAGCCUGAUCCAGCCAUGCCGCGUGUGUGAAGAAGGUCUUCGGAUUGUAAAGCACUUUAAGUUGGGAGGCGUUACCAACAGAAUAAGCACCGGCUAACUUCGUGCCAGCCGCCGCGGUAAUAC
rnacentral:rRNA from 1 species